rnacentral:rRNA from 1 species
AGCUUGCUCUUGCUGACGAGUGGCGGACGGGUGAGUAACGCGUAGGAAUCUACCCAUCUGCGGGGAAUACCGGUUGGAAACGACUGUUAAUGCCGCAUAUUAUCUGAGGAUUAAAGAUGGCUUUAGAGCUGUCGCGGAUGGAUGAGCCUUCGUUAGAUUAGCUUGUUGGUAGGGUAAAAGCCUACCAAGGCAACGAUCUAUAGCUGAUCUGAGAGGAUGAUCAGCCACAUUGGAACUGAGACACGGUCCAAACUCCUACGGGAGGCAGCAGUGGGGAAUAUUGGACAAUGGAGGAAACUCUGAUCCAGCAAUACCAUGUGUGUGAAGAAGGCUUUCGGGUCGUAAAGCACUUUAGUCAGGGAGGAAAAUAUAUUUGUUAAUAGCAUUUAUAUCUGACGUUACCUGAAAAAUAAGCACCGGCUAACUCCGUGCCAGCAGCCGCGGUAAUACGGGGGGUGCAAGCGUUAAUCGGAAUUACUGGGCGUAAAGGGUUCGUAGGUGGUAUGAUAAGUCAGAUGUGAAAGCCCGGGGCUCAACCUCGGAACUGCAUUUGAUACUGUCAAACUAGAGUAUAGUAGAGGAGUGAGGAAUUUCU